GACGAACGCUGGCGGCGUGCUUAACACAUGCAAGUCGAACGGAAAGGCCCUGCUUUUGUGGGGUGCUCGAGUGGCGAACGGGUGAGUAACACGUGAGUAACCUGCCCUUGACUUUGGGAUAACUUCAGGAAACUGGGGCUAAUACCGGAUAGGAGCUCCUGCUGCAUGGUGGGGGUUGGAACGUUUCGGCGGUUGGGGAUGGACUCGCGGCUUAUCAGCUUGUUGGUGGGGUAGUGGCUUACCAAGGCUUUGACGGGUAGCCGGCCUGAGAGGGUGACCGGGGACAUGAGGACUGAGAUACGGACCAGACUGCUAUGGGAGGCAGCAGUGGGGAAUAUUGCACAAUGGGCGGGAGUGUGAUGCGGCAACGCCGCGUGCGGGAUGACGGCCUUCGGGGAGUAAACCGCUGUAGCCUGUGACGAAGCGUGAGUGACGGUAAUGGGUAAAGAAGCACCGGCUAACUACGUG
rnacentral:rRNA from 1 species